UUGGAGCGGUUAUGAAGGUGGUUUAGCAACAUUCUCUUGGCUAUCCUUUCAGGGGUCAGGGGGUAACUCUCCCUGAGAGCGGGAUCCUGUCUUCGCGCCCAGAAGGCUUCAUUCUCGAGAUAAGGCGUGACCCUGAGAAGCCCCAGAGAGUUGUAAGAAGUUCCAUGUAGAAGUUCUUCCAUCAUUGGCUUCCUAUAUGAAUGUGUAGUUUCCUGAUUCUACUUCACAGCCUAUAAUCAUGGACUUGUUUAUGUGACCUUCCAAGCCAAUAACAAUUCAACUGGCUGGGCUUCUCAUUUUUCUUGAAGAUUAAUGAGUUACACUGGAUAUGCUGCUGUUCUUUAUUUUGGGAUUGCUCGUACAUUUUGUGUUCUUCGCCUCCAUCUUUGAUAUUUAUUUUACAUCUCCUUUGGUUCAUGGAAUGACUCCUCAGUUUACGUCAUUGCCUCCUCCAGCAAGAAGAUUAGUGCUGUUUGUUGCUGAUGGCCUGCGAGCAGAUUCACUUUAUGAGUUAGAUGAAAAUGGAGAUUCCAGAGCACCAUUUAUUAGGAAUAUCAUAAUGCAUGAAGGCAGCUGGGGGAUUUCUCAUACUCGUGUGCCAACUGAAUCUCGGCCAGGUCAUGUCGCCCUAAUAGCUGGUUUUUAUGAAGAUGUCAGUGCAGUUGCCAAAGGAUGGAAGGAAAAUCCUGUAGAAUUUGAUUCUCUUCUUAAUGAAAGCAAGUACACAUGGGGCUGGGGAAGCCCGGAUAUCUUGUCUAUGUUUGCCAAAGAUGUUAGUGGAGACCAUGUUUUUAUACAUACUUAUGAUGCUGAUGAUGAGGAUUUUGGUGCUCAUGAUGUAACAAAACUGGAUACGUGGGUUUUUGAUAAUGUUAAGGAAUUCUUUCGUGCUGCCAGAAACAACCAAUCUUUGUUUUCUAAACUAAAUGAAGAGAAAAUAGUUUUUUUCUUACAUUUAUUAGGAAUAGAUACAAAUGGACAUGCUCACCGACCAUCAUCGAGGGAAUAUAAGGACAAUAUUAAAAUAGUUGAUGCAGGAAUAAAAGAAAUGGUGUCUAUGUUUAAGCAUUUUUAUGGAAAUGAUGGGAAAACAGCAUUUGUCUUUACGGCUGACCAUGGAAUGACAGACUGGGGUGUCCAUGGGGCUGGUCAUCCUUCAGAGACUUUAACUCCUUUUGUCACUUGGGGAGCUGGAAUCAAGUAUCCCCAAAACGUAUCAACUCAGCAAUUUGAAGAUGCGUUUUUGAAAGAAUGGAAAUUGGAGAACUGGAAGAGGCAAGAUAUCAAUCAGGCUGAUAUCGCACCAUUGAUGGCUUCUCUUAUUGGGGUUCCCUUUCCCCUUAAUUCAGUGGGGAUCCUUCCUUUGGAUUAUCUUAACAACACUGAUCUCUUCAAAGCAGAGAGCAUAUUUACAAAUGCCAUACAGAUCCUUGAACAGUUCAAGGUGAAAAUGACUCAGAAAAAAGAAGUUACUUUAUCAUUUUUGUUUACACCGUUUAAGUUGCUUUCUGAGUCUAAACAGCACAACAUUUUAAGAAAAGCAAGAUCUUAUAUAAAACAGAGAAAGUAUGAUGAAGCAAUCUCCCUUUGCAAGGAGCUGAUUCAUCUUGCAUUGAAAGGAUUGUCCUAUUAUCACACUUACGACAGAUUCUUUUUGGGCAUCACCGUUGUUCUUGGUUUCGUGGGAUGGACAUCUUAUGCUUCUUUGUUGAUCCUUAAGUUUCAUUCCAACCUUCCCAGAGGUGGUAGUAAAGAAGUUAAGAAACCAAGCCGUCUCCUGCAAUAUAGUUUUGUAGCUAUUGGUGUUUUAGUAGCAUUUUUCCUGCUGAUUCAAGCAUAUCCCUGGACUUAUUACAUCUAUUGUUUAUUGCCAGUGCCAAUAUGGUAUGCGGUUCUAAGAGAAUUUCAAGUUAUUCAAGACCUUGUUGCAUCACUCUUGAGCUGCCCUCCGAGUCAUUUUGUUGGAUACCUGUUAGUCUCUACCCUGGGAAUUGAAGUAUUAGUUCUCAGUUUUUUCUACCGCUAUAUGCUUACAGCUGGACUUAUUGCGUUUGCGGGUUGGCCAUUUAUCACUCAGUUGUGGACUCGAGCAAAGAGGACCUCACUGAAUUGGAUUUUCUUCUCUUUGCUCCUGGCAGUGUUCCCUCUGAUGCCUGUUGUAGGACGAAAGCCAGAUAUCUCUCUAGUAAUGACUGCCGGCUUGCUGGUUCUUCUCCUAUCCCUGUUUGUUGUAGCGUCUCUCACAAAAAGAAAAGAUAGUUUUGUAAAUGAAGAGCUACCAUUGCAUCUAUUACAGAUGCUGAGCAUGGUGCUUUCCAUGUACGUUGUGUAUAGCACCGAUAAUAGUCUACUCAAGAAACAAGGACUUCCUCUUAUUAACCAGAUCAUUAGCUGGAUAAUAUUAGCCUCUUCCUUCGUCCUGCCGCUACUGAGCCCCCCGAUUCUUUUUGAGCGAUUGUUUAGCAUACUUCUUUCUCUGAUGUCAACCUACAUACUUCUAAGCAGAGGGUAUGAAGCUCUCUUUCCAUUAGUAUUGUCAUGUUUGAUGUUUGCCUGGAUACACAUGGAACAAGAAACCCUACAACAAUCUGGUGUUUCCUGUAAACAGAAGGUCAACAGUAUCCAGUUCAUCUAUAAUACUGAUCUAACCCAGCUCCGACAGCUCUGUCUGGAUGACAUCCGGAGGGCCUUUUUCCUUGUUUUCUUCUUAGUGACAGCAUUUUUUGGAACUGGGAAUAUAGCUUCUGUUAACAGCUUUGAUGUUACCUCUGUCUAUUGCUUUCUGACCGUGUUUAGUCCCUUUAUCAUGGGAGCCCUGAUGAUGUGGAAGAUUUUAAUCCCCUUUGUUCUUGUGAUGUGUGCUUUUGAAGCAGUUCAGUUAACUACCCAGUUAUCAUCAAAAGGUCUUUUCCUCAUGGUUCUCGUCAUAUCAGACAUUAUGGCUUUGCAUUUUUUCUUCUUGGUCAGGGAUUAUGGCAGCUGGCUUGAUAUUGGAACAAGAAGUUUUCAGAAAUUAUUCAGAGGAUUGGAUUUUUGCACCACAAAGAGCUUCUAUCCCAACCCGAGGAAAAGCUAGGAUAAGUUAAGCGGUGAUCGAGAAAAGGAUUAUUGAGAAAGCAUCAGCCACUACGUGAUUGUCAUGUCCAUGACCAUGGUUCUGGUCUUUCUCAAUGGCCUGGCACAGCUGCUCACGACAAAGAAACUCACACUGUGUGGCAAACCCAAAAGCCAUCUCAUAUGAUGGUGCUGAAGCCGUCAUUCAGCCUCUGGAUCUCGUUUCCCCUUCUCCUUGUAAACUAAAAUCUUAUCAAGGAUUCCAUAGGAAGAUGGAUAUUGAUGCACAGAUGCCACCACAGCGUGGCUUGACGACUGGUGCUAGAUCCGCAUGUGGGAUCCAAACCUGUGGACCACGGGCCACCGAAGUGGAGUGCACGAACUUAGCUACUACGCCACCGGGCCGGCCCCUAAAGGAUUAGUUUUUAAUUGUAGACUCAAUAUCUGUUGCCACCAUAGCUUUUAUUAUGAUUUGUUUCAACAGAAUUCUUUAAAUCAGUGGUUAAACUUUCUAAUAUCAUAAGAAUCAAUGUUAAAAUUGCUUUUCUAUCUGAUUGUGAGAUUCUAGUCCAAAGGUCUUAAAGUCCUCUCAUUAAAUUUAGAUUUCCAUUCGUAAAUUAAUUCUAAUGGACAAAAUUUGUUGUAAUUUUUAUUUGGAUGUUUCUUAAAGUGACCUUUACAUCUCACUGUAGAGUUGGCCUUUUGCCCAUGGUGUGCUAGCAGAUUUUGGCUGAAGCUAAGCUUUGCUGGUCUGAGUCCUGUUUUUAAAAGAUAAUUGCUUUUGAAUUAAGUUAUAGCAUUACCAAUUCACAUCAUGAUGAGGAAGCCUUCUCCAAAUUACUAGAUUUUUCAAAUUGGCAGGUGAGUGAACAAAUACAACUUAGAAGACAAAAAAUCAGUUAGGCAAAAUGUGCUUUCUUAAUUUCUGUUCAUGAUGAAGUAUAAUUACAACAUAUUUGUGACAGUACUUCAUGGCGUACGAGCAGAAGCAUUAUAGUACCAAGAAGAAAGCACUGAUGUCCCUGUGAGAGCUCAUGCCUCGGUCUGUAGUGUAAAAUCUGGGUGGACAAGUAAGGAGCUGCUAUAGCAGACGGUGACGUUGGCAGGUAGAGAAUGCAGGAGCUUUCACGUUGCCUCAAAGGAUUUUUAAUCAGUUUUUUCAAAAAUCAGAGAAAACUGACUUUAUAAACACUUACCAUUUAACUCCUUUUCUAUCUGCUUUGCCUUUCAUCUUUUCCUGGAUUUUCAAGCAGAGAAUGAAUGAAUAUUUUAUUACGACUUUGUAAAAGGUGUCAGUGCUCUACCUUUAUUUUGCUGUUUGAAGUAUGACUUUUUCUUAAUACUGUUUUGAGUCAGUGUGAGUUUACAAAGCAGGAGCAUGCGCCUGCAGCCGCGGGCUCUCCGCGCUCCCUGCACCUGGGCCCCCGAGACUCACCUCAGAGCAGAGUUUGCUGGACAGGCCUUUUCUGUCAGUACACAGUUCAUCAACUCUCCUAAAGUGUUUUGCAGUGCAUAUUUUUAUAUUGAAUAGCAGAGAAAAAAUAAAUAAGAUUUAUGUAAAAUGUA